CGCGGGGAGAAUUGGUAUUCAAUCCAGUCUCAUAAGCUGGACUCCGUGGAUUCGAUUUCCACCUCCGCAA
rnacentral:tRNA from 1 species